CAAAGUAAUAAGGCAAGAAGAAGAAAGAGCCAAAAAAUUUAGUUUUUAAAAAAAGCACAAGAGUUGCUAUAAUGGUAGAAAAUCCAAAGCAGGGCACCUGGGUGGCUCAGUGGAUUAAGCC